rnacentral:rRNA from 1 species
UACGGAGGGGGCUAGCGUUGUUCGGAAUUACUGGGCGUAAAGCGCACGUAGGCGGCUUUGUAAGUUAGAGGUGAAAGCCCGGGGCUCAACUCCGGAAUUGCCUUUAAGACUGCAUCGCUAGAAUUGUGGAGAGGUAAGUGGAAUUCCGAGUGUAGAGGUGAAAUUCGUAGUUAUUCGGAAGAACACCAGUGGCGAAGGCGACUUACUGGACACAUAUUGACGCUGAGGUGCGAAAGCGUGGGGAGCAAACAGG